rnacentral:rRNA from 1 species
AGUGGAGGGGACGUGUCCCUUUUUGUAGGUACUGUAUGAAUAAGGACCGGGCUAAUUCCGUGCCAGCAGCCGCGGUAAUACGGAAGGUCCCGGGCGUUAUCCGGGAUUAUUGGGUUUAAAGGGAGCGCAGGCUGAUGAUUAAGCGUGACGUGAAAUGUAGCCGCUCAACGGCUGAACUGCGUCGCGAACUGGUUAUCUUGAGUGAGUUCGAUGUUGGCGGAAUUCGUGGUGUAGCGGUGAAAUGCUUAGAUAUCACGAAGAACUCCGAUUGCGAAGGCAGCCAACAAGGCCUUUACUGACGCUAAAGCUCGAAGGUGCGGGUAUCGAACAGGAUUAGAUACCCUGGUAGUCCGCACGGUAAACGAUGGAUGCCCGCUGUUUGCGAUAUACUGUGAGCGGCCAAGAGAAAUCGUUAAGCAUCCCACCUGGGGAGUACGCCGGCAACGGUGAAACUCAAAGGAAUUGACGGGGGCCCGCACAAGCGGAGGAACAUGUGGUUUAAUUCGAUGAUACGCGAGGAACCUUACCCGGGCUUGAACUGCAGGAGAACGAUACAGAGAUGUUGAGGCCCUUCGGGGCUCCUGUGGAGGUGCUGCAUGGUUGUCGUCAGCUCGUGCCGUGAGGUGUCGGCUUAAGUGCCAUAACGAGCGCAACCCUUUUCAUUAGUUGCCAUCAGGUAAUGCUGGGCACUCUGGUGAUACUGCCACCGUAAGGUGUGAGGAAGGUGGGGAUGACGUCAAAUCAGCACGGCCCUUACGUCCGGGGCUACACACGUGUUACAAUGGGGGGUACAGAAGGCGGGAUCAAUGCAAAUUGGUUCAAAUCUUAAAAGCCCUCCUCAGUUCGGAUUGGGGUCUGCAACCCGACCCCAUGAAGCUGGAUUCGCUAGUAAUCGCGCAUCAGCCAUGGCGCGGUGAAUACGUUCCCGGGCCUUGUACACACCGCCCGUCAAGCCAUGAAAGCCGGGGGCGCUUGAAGUCCGUGACCGCAAGGAUCGGCCUAGAGCGAAACUGGUAAUUGGGGCUAAGUCGUAACAAGGUAAAUCACUGCCGUCGGUAAUCCUA